rnacentral:piRNA from 1 species
UCCGUUCUUUGUUCUGUUCUCGGU